UAAACUCGCACGCACUUUGGUGCUCGUGUGCGCGCUCGUGCGCAUGCAGUUAAACGGGAAACAGGGUGCCCACCUGCCAUGGACCGGGCUAACCUGUGCUGCCCCCGCAACGGUAAGCGAAAUGCGGUUCCAGAUUGAUUGUCUGGCGCCGCGGAGCCGGCUUCGAUGUCCACGCGCAAGGCCGCGUCGGCAUAUGACCACUGGACGAGAAACCACUCGUCCGGGAAGGGGAAGCGGCGCUUUCGCCAGCCCGGAUACCGGCCAGACGACGAAGAACGAC
rnacentral:ncRNA from 2 species